UGGCUCAGUGAUUAAGAGCACUUGACUGCUCUUCCAGAGGACCUGGGUUUGAUUCCCAG
rnacentral:tRNA from 1 species